AGUUGAUGAAGUAACUGGGAAGCAGGUGGCAGUUGAAACUGGUGAGUUUGAAGACCUAAAAUGUGGUCUGGUCUUGAAAAGUAUUGAUUACAAAUCCUUGCCUGUACAAGGUUUGCCUUUCGACAAAAUCAGAGGAGUUGUGCCAAACUUGAGAGGUCGACUCAUGAGCAUUGAGCAGUGAAUCAGAGACUGCCACGGUGGAAACAGGGCUGUAAGUAGUUGGAUGGUUAAAGAGAGGACCCACUGGGAUU